GACGAACGCUGGCGGCGUGCUUAACACAUGCAAGUCGAACGGAAAGGCCCUGCUUUUGUGGGGUGCUCGAGUGGCGAACGGGUGAGUAACACGUGAGUAACCUGCCCUUGACUUUGGGAUAACUUCAGGAAACUGGGGCUAAUACCGGAUAGGAGCUCCUGCUGCAUGGUGGGGGUUGGAAAGUUUCGGCGGUUGGGGAUGGACUCGCGGCUUAUCAGCUUGUUGGUGGGGUAGUGGCUUACCAAGGCUUUGACGGGUAGCCGGCCUGAGAGGGUGACCGGCCACAUUGGGACUGAGAUACGGCCCAGACUCCUACGGGAGGCGGCAGUGGGGAAUAUUGCACAAUGGGCGGAAGCCUGAUGCAGCAACGCCGCGUGCGGGAUGACGGCCUUCGGGUUGUAAACCGCUUUCGCCUGUGACGAGGCGUGAGUGACGGUAAUGGGUAAAGAAGCACCGGCUAACUACGUG
rnacentral:rRNA from 1 species